UUAACUUUUUGAAGAGUUCUUGAAAUUUUCCUUUUUCAAAACAUCAAACAAUUAAUCUUCAUACUUUGAAUUAAAGAAGAUAAAACUAGGUAAGAGUGAAUGUUCUUUUCUCAGCCAAAUAAUUGAUUUUUUAAGAGAGAAUCAAGUCGUUAAUACAAAUAGUCUUUUGUUAUCUUGAAAGAAUCUAAUGAUGUAUCAUUAUUUUGUUUGUUGAUUCUUUUAUCUUGGAAUUUGUUAGACUUAUUAUAUAUUUUUUUUGUUUAACAUUUCUUUUGGAUCUUUUUAUUUAUUUAUUUAUUUUUUAUGGAUAAGGAUCUUAAAUUUCAGGUUUAUUGCCUUGAACUUUUGGGGAUUGCUUCUACUACCUGCCUUGAACUUUUAAAUUUCUUGCUUAAUAGAGACAUAUUUCUGCUAGUAGCUUCUUUGUUUUAUGCUACAAAUGUGAAGGCUAAGGCAUAUGAUGGUUUGAUCAUUUUAACUAGAUUUUUCUUUUCAGAUUCCACCAAUUUUAUCACAGGCAUGAAAACUAUGAUUGGAUCAUCCAUUUGCAACUUAGUCUCCUCAUUUUUGCAUUGGGAAGAACCCUUAAUCAAAUGACUUUAUGUUUGAAAUCAAUAUUUUGAUUUGAUUUGUUUAAAGAGAGUCUCUGCAUUUGGCUUGAGAUCAAUGAUACGGUUUUUUUUCUUCACAAUUUUUUCUCUUUUUCUUAAUUUUUUUUUUCUAUUUACUUGCAUAUACUAUGAUAGGAGAUUUUAACACAAUGUUUUUUUGAUUGGAAGAUUUUAACACAAUGUUAUAGCCUAAUGUUAAAAAAAGUGGUUCCAGCUCUCGUCGAUCUUAACUCAACCCCUUCAAAGAGUGCAUUAUUGCAUGCACAACAAGUGUUCUUGGUACACAUCUAUCAUUGAGCGAUAUUUCAAGUUUAUCAUCCUCUUAAAUAUUAGGCUUCUAUAUGGACUAGUCUUUCAUUCUUCCUUUUUUUUCUUUUUUUCUUUUUUUCUUUUUUUAACUUCUAAAAAGGUUGUUUGUAAGGGGGUUUUAUAUAUUCAAAUAAUUCAAUAAAACUUAUUGCAUGUGUGGGCUAAACAACUUAAAAAGUGAGAGUAUGUUGAGCUAGCAACAUCAAUGUAAAACUAGUUCAAGAACACAACUCUCAACUCUCAUUCUCAGUCUCUCUCUCUAAAAGCUUCCUCAGAGGUAAGUUCAAAACCUCUAGUUUUGUUUAAUUUCACUCACUUUUCUUAUAAAUUUACUCUGUUUUCUCAACAAAUAAAUUCUCUCUAGAAAACCGAUGAUGAAUUCUCUCUGCAUUAAUCCAGUUUGUGCACAAAAUCAUAAAAGCAUGGGAGGCAGUGAAAGUCCAUGGUACUGUAGACCCCCAUUUUGGGCUAUGGGGGGACUCUCAUUUUUCACACUUUUUUGAAGACAUUUUCUUGUCCAGCUGUGGGUUUUUUUUUCGGCAGCGAAGAGAACAAGUGGCAUUUGAGUGGGCUACUGAGUAGGACGUUUUUUUGGGGAUUUUUGGUAGAGAAUAUGUUUUAGAGAGAGGAUACUUUUAGGGGGCACCAUUAGGAGACAUGAUUUUUUGCUGGCUGUUUCAAAGAGGAUAGGAGGGGGAGAUUCUCAUUCGGGCAUAGGAGGUUUUACUGAUUUUGGAGGGCAAGAAUCGAGAGGAGGAAGAAGAAGGGGAGCUAGGUGGGAAGCUGGGUGAGCUUCAAUUGAGAGGAGUUUCUCAAGUAUGUCUAUUGUGAAUUCUUUAUUCUCAUUACCAUAUGAUUUUUCCUCUUUCCUUGGCUUUUUUUGGAUUGUUUAAUUGAGCAUGGAUAUUAGGUUAUACGUUUAAAUUUAUUGGAUUUAUGAACUGUUCAUGGGUGUGUUGUUGAUUCACCUUUGUUUCUUUGGUUUUGGCUAGGAAGUAAUCUGAAUUUGUUUUGGUUUUAUAGGGUGCCUUGGGAGAUUAUAUUCUUAUUCUCAUUUUUCUGAAUCUAAUUUAGUUUCCUUCCCCACCAUUUAUAAGCACAUGGAUAACUUAUGAAAUGGUGCUUGGUUUGAAGGAUUCAUUUGUUGGAUUGUUUGUUUCUGUUAACUGUUUUGUGCUUUUCUCUCUGUUUCCUGUAUUUUUGAUGUGAUUGAUUUGAGACACAAUGGGUUGCAUUUGUUGUGAGCCUUCUGCCAUUAAGGAAAGUGGGGAGAGAAAAUAUGAUGGACAAGGCACUGAUGCUGAAAUAAAUUCCACCUUGGGUCUUUGUGCAUGGGAAAAGUUAUCUGACUAUGAGAAGUUCCAGAAGAUGCUUGGGAAUUCUUUCAGAGCAUGAACAGGAUGAUGGGGUCAAAGAAUGCUCGCUUAGAACUCCUGGUUACUGGUUAUUCAUGUCUGCAAAUGUGAAACCAAGCUGGUCUACGAUGGUUCCAGCUUCUGUAUACUUUGGUUUUGCUGCUUCAGUGAUAUAGGUUGCAAAGAAAGACUAUAAUCUUGCAAAACAACUAGAAAUUGAUCAACCUUUAAAUAACUGUGCAAGAUCUAAAAAGGAAGGUGCAGUAUACUGAGAAAAGCAGAAAUGUAAAAGACAUUGAAUUUAAUGCUGAGGAUGGGUCAAAAAUAGGAAGAAAGCUUCUUGAAGAUAACUUGCCUUAUGCUGGGAACUGCUCUGAGAUUGAUGAUUUGCGUUAACCAAAAGAAUUGCUCACCUGAAACCUGUUUGAAGCUGGUGAUUUAGAGGACCAGCUUGACAAAGGUUCAUGGAGGGCUUUUGAAGAACUCUACUGUCAAUGCUGAUGGUGGCAGCAGCUUUGCCAAUGGUGAGGUUGAUCAGUUUGGUGCCAAUGAAAGCAACAACAUGGGUUCUGGCACAUUUCAGAAUGUAACAUGGAAAUCUGAUCCAUCACAGGUUUCUGGAAAUUAUGGAGCUCAGACUAGUUGUCGUCAUUAUGAGCAUCUGAAACAUUGGAAAAUUCCCUUAAACAAUGUCGGCAUUGGCAGAAAAACAGGACGUUGGCAUUCUACAUGGAAGACACGUCGAGCUCUAUUGCUCCAGAAGUAUUACUGAAGAAAGGAUAUGGCAUGGGAUGUGAUUGGUGGUCAUUAGGUGCAGUUAUGUAUGAGAUGCUUGUUGGACAUCUCCCAUUCUAUUCUGAAAACCCAAUAACAACACGCAGAAAGUUUGUGCAUUGGAAAAAUCACUUAAAAUUCCUGAUGUGGCAAGGUUGACCCCUGAAACAAAGGAAUUAUUCAGUUAGCAGCCACCACACUUUUCACUCUUGAUGAAUUACAUUCUUCUAGAUGGGAUGCAUUUACCAGUGCUGAGAAGAUAUUAGGCAUAAGUGUUGGGGGCACGAGCUAGAGUCUUGCAGCUUCGAUUGGUGAUCUUAUCAAAUAAGAGUGUUUUAGUGGGACCACAUGGACAGAUGAAUGGAAAGAUGGAGCCCUCUGAAGGCCUACUCUCUUUUCAAGAUGCUUUGCUUCUAAUAAUUACGGGAUAUAUUUUGGCUGUUCUUGAAACCCAGCAAUAGCAAAACUGAAGUUUCUUGAUGGUUUAACAGAAGAGCUUAAAAGGCCAACAUAAACAAGAUCAAAACAGAGGUUGAAUACUAUUUCUGCAGAGAAGGUGGUUCCUCUUUCCAGAAUGCUCAGACUACACAACACAAUUGGUUGAAAGCUCAGUUGAACUUGUGGACCAAACUGUCAAAAUCCAUGAAGACACAAAGCAGCAGCAGAAAUCUAAUUGUGAAAAGGUGGUGAUCAUAUAAGGUUCUAGAGCUACCAGAUUCCUGUUCCUCAUAAUCCAUCUAACUGAUGUUGGAUCAGUUGAAAUUCAAACCAGUAUAUCUCCUUCCUCUGCUGUGCAAACGCACUAAUCAGGAGAAAUGGAAAAUUGUGAUCUCGGCUUCCAAAGCAGCAUUUUAAUUUAUCCAAGGUGUUUGUUAUAGAGGGUGGUCAGAUAUUAAGGGAAGCAGAUCAGCAAGAUUGCAUUGCUGCAGCAGUUCAUCCCUCGUAAUUUUGAUGCCAGCGAUCAUGAUGCUUCUAGCUUCACCAUUGCUGCUAUACAUAGAAUUGGGAUGUUAUAUUUUUUUAUUUUAAACACAGGCAAGGCAGGUCCUUUAUGAAACUAUGUUCAUCUUGAAUGAAUUCUUAACUUGAGGAAUACGAAAUCACCUCCAGAAUACGGUUUGGACAACUGCAUUGGUAUUUGGAUUUUUCAAGCAAGUCAGAUUUUUCUAUCCCUGGAUGGGGGGUCAAACUCACCUCCACUACAAGGCGUUCAUGACAUUAUGUUGGCACCAGGAAAUGUCACGCUUGAAUAUGAAACCUGAUAUUAUAUUGUCAAAGAAGGAUCAGGAUUCUAAAGCCAUCAAUGCUCCAAAAGGGGGUGCUCAGGACCAAUUGCAUAGACUGGCUGGAUCGGAUUAAUGCUCCCUGCAGUAUGCAUAUCGCUCGGCAGACGUCAUGGGCAAUCAGUAUCUGUUUUAUUGGUGACAUCAUCAUGACCCCUGGAGAUGAUGCUGGUUUGAUGCCUCCCUACAAAAAUUGCCCCAAUUCAAGUGAUAAUCAUACCAAUCUGAAAGAAGGCUGAUGAAAUUCCCACCUAGAACACCUCUGCCAUCUAUUGUACAGCUGAAAGCAAGAUCUGUGCAUUUUGAGCCUCUUGAUCACUAUGCCACAUGUGUAUUUUUUAGGUCCUCAGCAUAUCAGGUUGUGUACAAACACAAACGUGAUGCCAGGCAGCAUAUGGUUUCAUCACGCAAAACAGUCUCCUUUAGUUCAGCAUUCAACUCCGAGUGUCCCUGCUCACUUAAAAGAAGAACUAGCUCAUUUCAUCUGUCAGGGAAUACUUAGAUCAAUUCAGAAACCUCUCUACAACAACCAAAAAACUGAUCUUGAAUCCCCAACGCCCACAUUAUUACCACAGGCAAGCAAGCAAUUUAAUGUUGCCUCUGAUGCUGUUUUUGUGGAGAGCUCAACAUCCAAUACUUUGUCCUCUGCUCCAAGUGCUCUUUCUAAUGAACAUGCAUCGAUUGUGAUCAACAAUGAAGGUAGAAGAAGAGAACCCUUAGUGAUCAAAGCUAAGUUGCAAAUUGGGAUGGGUCUGCUGUCAAUGGGUGCCACAUUAAAUUAAACUGAGCUCAGUUAAGCCCUGUAGAUCUUAUUUCAAAGGAAGCUUGAUUAUUGGAAAGGCCACCAUCCUCUGUCUGACACUGUAUUAUGAAGUUGCUAAAGGGAAUGAAAUGCUAGUAUUUCUCAAAGCAAGGGAGAGAGAUAUUGUGUCGCCUGCUGUUUUUCAUGGUGAAACAAGCAAUUCUUUACCUUGCAUGUCAACACUAGGUAAAAGUGAAUUCUCUUGCUGUGAUAUUGCAGUUAAUGUCUAUAAAUCUCAAUGCUCCACAGGUGAAGGAGAUGGUUCAGUGAGCUUGAUUGCUGGGGAUUACCAAUGAUGCUAACAAGAAAUUCAUUUGUGAUGGAAAUUCUGACAUAAUGCUCAAUGAUUGCCUAGAUUGUGAUUUUGGUAGAGAAUGACUCUGUUUCAAAAGAUGGCAUUGAAACUGCAGUCGAUACAAUGAAUGUAAAUUCUGAAACUUCUUCUGCUGGAAAUGCAUGAAAGCUUAUUCUGAGAUGCAUGUGAUGGAAGGCGCUGUAAGUUAGCUUUUUUGUCCAGAAACAAAAUGCAAGGGCAUGGUUCCACCUGUUUUGUUGAAAGGAUUGCUUGGUGAGGAAGAAUUUGAACAUUGGGAGUCCUUAAUGUUGCAGAAACCACUUGAGUUAAUGUCUGAUGUAACCUAUCACCUUAGAUGUGAAACAAUCUGCAUAGAGGAUGAAAACCAACACUACUGCUAAAGCUAACGGUACUCCUGCAGGUAAAGACUAUGUAUUUGGACAGCUCAUCUGGACAAAUAUACCAACUUAGUGACAUCCAUCUGGUGUUGAAUUCCACAAUGUUCCUUCCAGUUUGCUUCCUUCCACAUAGUCAUCUAAGAAGAAUUUGGAAACUCCUUUUUUGGCCCCACAAGAGUUAAAUGAUCAAAAUUCCCAAAAAGGGGGGGAAUGAAUUAUUGGUCGGACCAUCAUUGAAUGUCAGCUUGAAUUCCUCUUCAGGGCCUCCAAAUUUUCUGCUACCUUUUCCUGGUAAUGCUGUUGAAGAAAUAGGCUGAAGGAAAUCAGCUUUCUUUUUUCAACAAGGACAAGGUCUUCCUCAGGACUACUAUGGUGAUGGGUAUCAUGCACCUGCUCCUCAACUUGCCUAUGGUCAACCUCAGCCAAUUCCAGGAUAUGAUCAGUAGUAAGAUUGUAAUUCUGCCACUGGUUACGGUGAUGUGGCCAACCCAGUGCAAGAGGGGCACACUGACUCCUAAGUUCAGAAAUUUGAACAUAUCUGUUAAGUUAUCAAUGACCAAAGAUACUCAACUGAGCCUGUGGAGAAUGAGUUAGAUUCAGAUUCCCAAUGCCCAGAUGUUAGAUAUGAAGCUCUCUGCUCAUUUGCUUCCAUCUGAAACUCAAUGCAUAGACGAUGACUCAAUUCUUGCCCUCCAGCUGGUGAAGUUCUUGAUUUCUCAUCUGUGAGGUUCAGUGGCUCUGCUUCUACAGAUCCUACCUAUGAAUUACCAGUGAACAAUGAAGACCUUGCAGAGAAUGCUGACUUAAAUGUUGCUGCUUUUGGAGAUGUACAUUCAGCAGGGUUUGGUCUUAAAAAUUCCUGAGAGUGAGAGUUCAAAAGACAGAAAAAGAAAAUUUUCUACAGGAUCAGUUCUCUCUCAAACGGGUCAAAAAUCAUCCACAGCUGUUGACAAAAAUGAAACUGGGAAGAUCAUCCUGCUCUCCAGAAAAUCUUGGAUGUUAUAGAAAUGCAACUGGUUAUUCCUUCAAGCACCCCUUUUCUAAGGCUCUUUUAGGGUUGCAAUUCAUGCUUAACAGAAUCUUGAUAUUACGAGAAAAUGACUCAAAAUUCUCUCUCUCCGUUCAAUUGGAACCUAUUAUUGUUUUGGCAUUCUGAUAAAAAAAUCGAGUUUGAUUCUUGGCUUGCCUUGCUCGACAAAGUUCAGGAUCGGUAUCAGAUUAAUGGUGGGAAGUUACAGCUUCCUCUAUAAUCAGUUCUUCAGUAUUGGCAGUCUAUAAUUUUGGCAUGCAUGGCCAGUCAGAAGGAUUGGGAUGAAACUGAUGGAGAAAAUGGCUUGAUCUAUGCUCAGUUGAAGUUUCAGGUGCACUGCCACUCUGGCCAACUGCAGCGGGAAAUGCUCAAUCUCUUGACGCCAUAGAGUGAGCUUUGGCCGACCCUGGAUCAAAUUCCUGGAAGAGCAACUGGUGCAUACAGUCACAGUCAGGAUGGUGCAAGCCCAACAGUCCAUCUGAUGAUGCAGUCACUGAUAAGAUCGAGAGUGGGGAAAGGAUGAAGAUAUGAAACAACUAUUUGGAAAAGAAUUAGAAUCUGGGAACUUCAUUGGUGUCCAUGCAUGGUGUUUUAUGUAUACAUGGAUUAGAAAGAAAACAAGAUUGAGCCUGUUUCACGUAUAGGGUAAACCUGAUCUCUAGGUAGGGCUUUAGUCUUGAACCUGCUCAAACUUUUCUGAUGGUCCAAAAGCUUGCAUGCACAAGGUUCUUUUGAUUAUUGAAGGAUCAUGCGAAGCACAUGUUCACGUGGAUGAUGGCCGAAUGGUCAUUAUGGGUAAUAUCCAACUAAAUACAAAGCUGUUGUGGUUGAGCUCCUCAAGAAGGCAGCUUGAGUGCAUCUCUGGAAAAUUCAUAUAUGGAAGAUUCAUCUACUGAGUUUGAUGGUCUAGAAAACAAAUCAUAUGUAUCUGACAGUACAUUCACCAGGAGCAUUGGGUCUUCCUCUAGUGACCAAUUUGACAGUACAUCUCAUCCAGGAGAAGCUAGCAGUAUAGACACAAGUCGCUCAGCAUCAGGUUCAACAACAAACCUUUUUCCAUGGAUGGUCACUGUAGCUGUUAGUUCAACAGAUAAAGAUUUUACAUAUGUUAUCAAAUUAAGGGAUGGUGCUAAUUUCAUGGGUGAAAGUUGGAAUCUGAUUGAAACGAUUCCCCCACAAGCAUCAUCUCUGCAUCCGAAGGCUAUGCAGGAUAUUUCAUUCCCUAUCAAUCCAGCUAUUGUUUGAAGAGUUCUAUGAAAAAUACUAAGGCCGGAGGGAAGAUUUUGGUAUGCCAACAUGCUGAGAGUCCAACAGAUCCAAAGCUGGCAAAGAGUACACUAAUCAGAGAAGCUGGUGCGGUUGAGAUAAUUCUUAAAUGAAGCAGACUAGGAUGUUGCCAUUCCUUUUGUGACCCCUGAAGCUAUUGUUGGAAGGGGCUUAGGGGACAGGAUUCUAUCCUAUAUUAAUCAUACACACAGACUGGUUUCUAGGAUUUUUUCCUACAAAGACUGUAUUAGGAUCUCUCCCUACUCAUCAAGUUGACGCCUUUUCUUCAAGAGGAAUUGUGGUCUUGAUCAGAGCCGUGCAUCCAUCAAGUUACUACAUUUAAUCAAAAAGUGCAACAGCACAUGCGAUCACAUCUGUACUGAACCCCCAUCAAUCACAAUGCCCAAUUCUACCACAGCCCAUGCGAGGAUUGUCGUCUCAGUGAGACUACCUGAGAUCACUGAAACUGAUAUGGAGGGGAGCUUGCAAAUGCUUACCAGUGGUGUUCAGACCAAUCCCCUGUUUCAAUAAUUCAAACCGAUGGAGCCAUUCCCAAGCCAGCGUUAGAUUUACAGCCAAAGCCAAACCUUCUGCAUGGACACCUUGGUGCACACUAUCAUCCUUCUAAUGCUUUUCAUUUCCUUGUGAUCUUACACGUUUUGAAUCGGGUUUUCAAUUUUCAUUAAAAUAAUUUCAGUUUUCUUUAAAUUUCAUCCUUAGAAAAUAAAAACUCAAUUUUAAUAAACUUUUUGCUGCCAAAUUCCCUUCCAAUAUGUAUUUUCUUAUUUUCUUUGGUUUUUAACAUUUUUUCUCAAUUUUCUCGAUUUUAAUAAAAAUGAAUAAAUUCUAUAAUUCUAAAAAUAAGGGAAUCCCUUCCAAAUUCCUAUGAUUCCUCUAUAAUCAUUAGAGAGCUGGAAUUUAUGGAAUUAGUUCAUUUAAAUAAAUUUGGGCAGUGGUGGGACCCGACAUACAUGAUUUUCUCCUUUGUUUAUUGAUUCCCAUUGUAAUACUAAUUCUUUGAUUUUUGAUCAACUUUGAUAUAUUCUGUGAUACAUAUGAUCUUAUUUUAUA